CCUACGGGAGGCAGCAGUAGGGAAUUUUCCACAAUGGACGAAAGUCUGAUGGAGCAACGCCGCGUGAGUGAAGAAGGGUUUCGGCUCGUAAAGCUCUGUUGGUAGUGAAGAAAGAUAGAGGUAGUAACUGGCCUUUAUUUGACGGUAAUUACUUAGAAAGUCACGGCUAACUACGUGCCAGCAGCCGCGGUAAUACGUAGGUGGCAAGAGUUGUCCGGAUUUUUUGGGCGUAAAGCGAGUGCAGGCGGUUCAAUAAGUCUGAUGUGAAAGUCUUCGGCUCAACCGGAGAAUUGCAUCAGAAACUGUUGAACUUGAGUGCAGAAGAGGAGAGGGGAACUCCAUGUGUAGCGGUGGAAUGCGUAGAUAUAUGGAAGAACACCAGUGGCGAAGGCGGCUCUCUGGUCUGCAACUGACGCUGAGGCUCGAAAGCAUGGGUAGCGAACAGGAUUAGAUACCCUAGUAGUC
rnacentral:rRNA from 1 species